CCCCACUUAGCUCAGUUGGUAGAGCAUGAGGCUUAUAAUCUCAGGGCCGUGGGUUUAAACCCCACAUUGGGCA